AUGAUUGACAGGACAACUCACAGUGGGCCUUUGGGUGAUGGGUGAACUUGGCAGCACGUCGUCAACAGUACAUCGCUGUGUCAGGAUGUGUCGACUGGCUGACUCACCAUGGCAACUGCUGAGUGACAGGCGUAGCAGGGCUUGCUCCGUGUCUUUGUUUUGCCUCAGGAUGAGUGGUUGAGCAAGAGGAGAAGGACAGUGGGGGAAGUACACUCGAGUCCUAUACUUGAGUACAAAUUCAAGAUCAAAACUGCGAACAUGACAGACUGGGUUGCAUUCCUCUCAGGUGAUGACAGCGAUAAUCCACAGGCAGUCUGGAUUCAGC